rnacentral:rRNA from 1 species
UGCAGAGGAGCUAGCCUCUAGUUAAACUUAACAAAUCCACAUCAAUAUCCCCUUAGACCCCACACGUUAAUUAAACAAAACAUUUUUCCCCCUUAGUAUGGGCGAC